UAAAAAUAAAACUGUAGGUUCACAGAGCAAUAGUUUUUUGGCUGAUGGAGAAAGUGACCCCCAUUUGAAAGCCGCAAGAGUUAGAAGGCGGCGGCAGCAAAUAGUUCAAAAACUAUAAAAAAAUAAAUAAAAUGAAGACCAGUUGAAAAAUUGCUUAGAAUUGGCCAUUCUAUAACACUAAAAGUUUACUAAAAUGUGACCCACCCUUUUAGGUUUAGAAAUUGCAGUAAUAUGUCAAGGAAAUAAAUACUGGUGCACAACAUAUGUACUACUACUACUACUACUUAACAAAAAUGGCAACAAACAAUCCUAAACAAUACACACAAUGCUAAAUGUACUUUAGUGAAAUAAAACUGUUGCAACACUUAAUACUUAGCUUUGUUUAGGUGGUGGAGUUCAACAGUGGUUUCCCAAAAAGCUGUAGUCUUUUGAGAAAGGCAGAAUCACUGGGCCUAGAAAAUAGCCGCCUUCAAUGGGAGAUUGUGUGUCUAGGCACCCUCAUAGUCCUGGGUGAGAUUUCGCUGAACAAUCGCUUUAUAAAUAAAUGUUAAUGUAAUGUAAUGUAAUCACUAGUAGUGCUAAAACCAAGUAGAUAGGUUGGGUAGGGGCUGGGCUGGAAGGUAAUAUGUUCCACCACUAGUGAUGAGUGAAUCUGUACUGUUUUGCCAACAAAUUAGAGAAACUGCUGUUACUGUGUUACUUUAUUGACGCAACCACAAAGUUUUUGACAUGCCUACAACAUGCAGUGACAGUGACUUGUUUGAUACGACCAAAACUUUCUCUCCCUCCAAGAAUUUUUUGUCAUGACAAAUUUUGCCAGUAGUUUUGCAAAAAAAAAAAAAAUGGCAAAUCCAUGUUUGGAGAAAAAAAUUCACUCAUCACACUAUCCUCCACCCAUGUGUAACCCACUUUUGGGAGUAAUUAGUAAAUUAAGUAUCACUACAGGAUGGAUCUGCCUUUUCUUUGCCAGCAUUGUUACAAAGCAUUCAGGCUAUAUUUUGUCUCUGGGUCCAUCUCCAGGGGAAAAAAUUGCUAGGGGGAAAAAAAUCCAUGGAUAUUGUCUAAUGCAAGUGAUUUCUAAAUGGACCAAAUCCCCGAAAAUUGCCCUUCAUUGUUCUCAUUGAGUAUUCGGUGAUUAUCUCUUAAGGACUAUAUUUUUGGACUGGAAAAAAAACCAUAUCAAAAUGGGCUAAAUGUCCAAAACUACCCUGUGUCACUGCUUUUAACCGGAUUAACCAUAACUACAUUACAAUUAUGCUUUAUUUGUACAGCACUGGCUGAUUGUGCAAAACAAUGUUCUGCUUACUGUGGUGGCAGAUGCCUCAACUCAAAGAGGGCAAAUUAUUUUAUUGUGAAGGAUGUGAAACUGAGAAAUGCUGUCUCCUAUACAACCUAGACACAUGGCCCUGGAAGGUUUUUUUCUCUUUCGAUGAGUGGACAAUUACAGCACAUGAAGCCAGCCUUCAGUCCUUUGUGAAGAACAUCUGAAUGAAAUGGCCUUUAUUUGCCACAUCCCAAAGCAAGUCUCAUCUGCAUGGUUUCCUGGAGUUGCAUCAGCAGGCCGACUGUGUUUAUCUAAGCAAACCAAGACACAUGAUGCUCCAUCUGGACAAAUGGUGGUAUUAGGGUUCACAGUGGCAGUACUGGAAAAUGUGCAGCUUACUACUUACAAAAUAAGGCAAACAUGAGACAGGGAAAAGAAUUAAAUAUAGAGCCUGCUUUCAUGUCUGUAAUAUAUUUUCCCAAUAUUAUAUUUAUGCAUAUGGACCAGCAAAUUAUUCUUCAGUUUGUUUUAUAUGUCUGCAACAACAUUGAUUUCUGAAGGAGCUGCCUUUACUAGUGAUACUGCCUCACACAGGGUGCGACCCCAGAUAUUGCAACAAACAUUACACUUCUCUUUUGACAAUUUUUUAAAAUAAAUAGAACAAACAACAUAUGGUUUGUUUUUUUAUUUCCUGUGCCAAGGAGAAAUAACUACAGAUAAAAACUCAAGAUUAUCUGUUUGUACAAGGCUGUUAAAAUGAAUUUAAAUAGCAUGUGAAUUUUGAAAAUUAUCGCAAAAAAAA